AUCAACAUCAUCAGACAAGACAGGAGAGUUGUAAUCAAGAGUAUUUUUGGCCUCCUUUGGUGUGUGGAUCCUGAUUGACACUGUGCAGUGAUGCUUAUCUAUGGCACACAUAUUGUGGUUUUACUGUUUAGACAAGAAGGAGCAUUAGAGGAACAUGAGCAGGAAGGAACUUUUACAGCAAGGUAUGAUAUAUGUGCAUAAAUGACCUGAUUUUUGUAUCAAUAUACCCAAAAAGCAUCACAGAACUUGCUCUGAAGACAUGUCAAUGGGUGUAUAGAUCUGUAAAGUAUAAUUAAAUUUUGGUCAUUGCCAGGUAAGCAAUGUGAUGAUGUCCCUGAAAAUCAACAACUUUUGGCAACAAGAAAUAAAAAACAACAACAAUGUGCAAUCAGUAAGCAUAACAUUAAUCGUUCCAAGUUCUCUUUCAAUAAUGACCCCAUUGCAGGGCAAAAAACUAACAUCAAAAGUAAUAACUUUCAGUUCAGAACAGUCACUCAUUUGUUAAUUUUGCAAUCAUUUCUUGAGACACAAAAUAUGCAGUGGUGAGGUAAACAAGUUUAAGUGAUGGCCACACUUUUGAAGCCAUAGAUUGAGUUUCUUCUUGAUUUAGCUUUCACAGUUAUUACAGGGUACAUGUUUAUUUGAUUAAAUUUGUACCUUAUGAGCAAUGGCGAUUGUGUAUGGUCUAAUAUCAGAGUUUUUUUAAGGAGUUUUAUCAUCAAAUUGGCAAUUAGGAAUUGUUUGUGUUUUGUGGAAACACUUUUUAGGGGUCAGGAUGUCUGAAAUUUCUGCUGGGAACUAAUUUUUGCCAUUGAAGGUGGUGUUGUGUUUCAUGUACUUCUCUGUGGGAACUGAUUUCUGUAGAUUGAGGAGAAUCUACUAAAAUUCUGACCUGCAAAAUUUUUGUUUUCGUUAUGUUCUGUUUUAGUGGUGAUCGAUCUCCCAUGUUACCAAGUUACACCAUCAACCUCAAAGACAUUUGUGAAAAGUUGUGCAACAUUAUAGAUAUUCAGUUUCUUUAGGGUUACUAUGAACCUACCCUGUUAAUACUUUAUGAACCACUGAAAACUUGGCCAGGAAAUUAUGAGGUCUUCUUCAAUUUUGGGCGUGAAAAUGUACAGUUGUCUCCAAGAAAAAUGAGUUUCAAAUGGCAAAUGUCAACCUAGGAAAAUGUUCAGUCUAAAAAUUCAAUGCCGUUUUGCCAUGCGACAUGACACAUGUGCUUUGGUAGUUAUCUCAGCCCACUCAUCCAGUUGUGUGGUCCCUGAAUAAUCUGCUAUUUGAUUGAAGUCAAGUUCUUGCUGUUCCUAAGCCAAUUGGAAGUGCAGAAUCUGAUGUCUUCCAAAGUUACAGCAACAAGGACUGACGGAAGAAAAGUCUCAAAGACAAAAGAGCACAAAAGGGGAAAAGCAGCCCAGGAGUGACAGAUUUCUCCUCUCAGAUAUGUUACACAGACAGAAACAAGGUUGUGGGUGGAUCAACUGUCUGAAAUGUUUCCAGAUUCCCCCAAACACCAGAUAGAAAUUGUUGUUCAAAGGUACAUGCAGAAACUGCUGUUUUGCAUGAAUUGCUGGAUAAGUUGCAGGAGGGAGAUGUUUCUAAAGUCCUUCACAACCAUCCUUCCUCUGAGUCCUUCUGGUCAGCGAUAAAUGCCUCUCACUGGCCAAUAACCAAGAAGAUAACAGAUAAGAAUGUGGCACAUCUUGUACAAAACCUACUGGUGACUGAAAUAAUUUCGUUCAGGAAGUUUGAGAUAGACUCAUUCGCUGAAGGUCUCAAAAAUUUGGAGUUCCUAGAUGCCACAAAGAACAACAAGGAAGUGUGCUUUAAGCUGCUUUGUAAUUCUAUUGAGCAAACCCUCACUCCUAAUGAAUUUAAUAAUCUCUUUGAUGCCAGUGUACAAAGGCCCUCUGACUUUUCCCAGCUACAUUCCUAUGACUGGUCCAUGGAUUAUGUAAUGCUGGUGAGGAGACACUCGUAUGUCUGCUGCAGUUCAUUACUGGCUUUCAAUCAAUUCCACCUUAUGGUCUCCCUCACAACAUUGUGCUAAGAUAUAUUCCUGAUGAUGAUGAGAAAGCUUCCAUGCCAUAAGCAACUGUACACCUGGCGAUGUUACAGCUCCCAAAAAUUCAUUCCCCCAGAGAAUGAUUUCAAUCAAAGCUUGGAUAUUGCCUUAAAGUUUGAAAGCCAGAGGUUUCCUACUGUUUAGCACCUUUGUAACUCAAAGCAAAGAAAAUACCAGUGAACUGCAGUUUUCUGAAAACGCUUUAAGUUGGCUGUAUUGAUUUGUAGUUGUUCUCUUGUUUGUUUUGAUGCAUUACAUAGAACUUAUUAAACUUUCAUAAAGAAAUAACAAUUGCUAGUCCCAGACUGAGGGACUGAA